UAGCAAUACACGAGUGGCGCACGGGUGAGUAACACGUGGAUAUCUGCCUUUUGGUUCGGGAUAACCCUGGGAAACUAGGGCUAAUACCGAAUGGUUCCUACGGGAUAAAGAUUUAUCGCCAAAAGAUGAGUCCGCGUCCGAUUAGCUAGUUGGUGAGGUAAUGGCUCACCAAGGCGACGAUCGGUAGCUGGUCUGAGAGGACGAUCAGCCACACUGGGACUGAGACACGGCCCAGACUCCUACGGGAGGCAGCAGUGGGGAAUAUUGGACAAUGGGGGCAACCCUGAUCCAGCCAUGCCGCGUGAGUGAUGAAGGCCUUCGGGUUGUAAAGCUCUUUUGGCGGGGACGAUGAUGACGGUACCCGCAGAAUAAGCCCCGGCUAACUUCGUGCCAGCAGCCGCGGUAAGACGAAGGGGGCUAGCGUUGUUCGGAAUUACUGGGCGUAAAGCGCGUGUAGGCGGUUAUUCAAGUCAGGUGUGAAAGCCUUGAGCUUAACUCAAGAAAUGCACUUGAUACUGGAUGACUAGAGGACCGGAGAGGAUAGUGGAAUUCCCAGUGUAGUGGUGAAAUACGUAGAGAUUGGGAAGAACACCAGUGGCGAAGGCGGCUAUCUGGACGGUUCUGACGCUA
rnacentral:rRNA from 1 species